CGCGCAGGCGGCUACUUUUGUCAGGCGUGAAAGCCCCGGGCUUAACCUGGGAACCGCGCUUGAGACGGGAUGGCUAGAGAUCGGGAGAGGAGAGUGGAAUUCCCAGUGUAGAGGUGAAAUUCGUAGAUAUUGGGAAGAACACCGGUGGCGAAGGCGGCUCUCUGGACCGAUACUGACGCUGAGGCGCGAAAGCGUGGGGAAGCAAACA
rnacentral:rRNA from 1 species